AAAUUGAAGAGUUUGAUCAUGGCUCAGAUUGAACGCUGGCGGCAGGCCUAACACAUGCAAGUCGAACGGUAACAGGAAACAGCUUGCUGUUUCGCUGACGAGUGGCGGACGGGUGAGUAAUGUCUGGGAAACUGCCUGAUGGAGGGGGAUAACUACUGGAAACGGUAGCUAAUACCGCAUAAUGUCGCAAGACCAAAGAGGGGGACCUUCGGGCCUCUUGCCAUCGGAUGUGCCCAGAUGGGAUUAGCUAGUAGGUGGGGUAACGGCUCACCUAGGCGACGAUCCCUAGCUGGUCUGAGAGGAUGACCAGCCACACUGGAACUGAGACACGGUCCAGACUCCUACGGGAGGCAGCAGUGGGGAAUAUUGCACAAUGGGCGCAAGCCUGAUGCAGCCAUGCCGCGUGUAUGAAGAAGGCCUUCGGGUUGUAAAGUACUUUCAGCGGGGAGGAAGGG
rnacentral:rRNA from 1 species